rnacentral:lncRNA from 1 species
UUUAAGUUACCUCUAACCUCAUAUUGAAACUGGACAAGUUUCUUUGGACCAACCUCAACCUGGAACCAACCUUAACUAACUGUCCAAGAGAUCCAUCCAUAUGAAUACCACCCUUCCUUCCCCAAAAGAAUAUAUGUUGUGUCAUAAGCUGGCACAACAAUCUUAUACAUUCCCUCAGAAUUUGGCAAUCCACAAACAGAAAUUC